UACGUAGGGUGCAAGCGUUAAUCGGAAUUACUGGGCGUAAAGCGUGCGCAGGCGGUUUUGUAAGUCUGUCGUGAAAUCCCCCGGGCUCAACCUGGGAAUUGCGAUGGAGACUGCAAGGCUAGAAUCUGGCAGAGGGGGGUAGAAUUCCACGUGUGAGCAGUGAAAUGCGUAGAGAUGUGGAGGAAUACCGAUGGCGAAGGCAGCCUCCUGGGCCAACACUGACGCUCAUGCACGAAAGCGUGGGGAGCAAACAGG
rnacentral:rRNA from 1 species